AUUGAACGCUGGCGGCAGGCUUAACACAUGCAAGUCGAACGAGUGGCGGACGGGUGAGUAAUGCUUCGGAAUCUGGCUUAUCUCCGUGGAUAACGACGGGAAACUGUCGCUAACUCCGCGUACCAUAGGAUGAGCCCAAGUGGGAUUGGGUAGUUGGUGGGGUAAUGGCCUAACAAGCCGGCGAUCUCUAGCUGGUCUGAGAGGAUGACCGGCCACAGCGGGACUGAGAGACGGCCCGGACUCCUACGGGAGGCAGCAGUGGGGAAUAUUGCGCAAUGGGGGCAAGCCUGACGCAGCCAUGCCGCGUGAAUGAAGAAGGCCUUCGGGUUGUAAAGUACUUUCGGUGUGGAGGCGUUAAAUACAGAAGAAGCACCGGCUAACUCCGUGCCAGCAGCCGCGGUAAUUC
rnacentral:rRNA from 1 species